rnacentral:rRNA from 1 species
GUGUCAGCAGCCGCGGUAAGACAGAGGGGGCAAGCGUUGCUCGGAAUCACUGGGCGUAAAGGGCGCGUAGGCGGGACGGCAAGUCGACUGUGAAAGCCCCGGGCUCAACCCGGGAGGGUCGGUCGAGACUGUCGUUCUUGAGGGGGGCAGAGGAGUCUGGAAUUCCCGGUGUAGCGGUGAAAUGUGUAGAGAUCGGGAGGAACACCGGUGGCGAAGGCGGGGCUCUGGGCCUUACCUGACGCUGAGGCGCGAAAGCGUGGGGAGCAAACGGGAUUAGAUACCCCGGUAGUCCACGCGGUAAACGAUGACGACUAGGUGUGGGGUGGGUUAGACCAUUCCGUGCCGCAGCUAACGCAUUAAGUCGUCCGCCUGGGGAGUACGGCCGCAAGGUUGAA